rnacentral:rRNA from 1 species
CCUACGGGAGGCAGCAGUGAGGAAUAUUGGUCAAUGGGCUUACGCCUGAACCAGCCAAGUCGCGUGAGGGAAGACUGCCCUAUGGGUUGUAAACCUCUUUUGUCAGGGAGCAACGCCGGCUACGUGUAGCCGGACUGAGAGUACCUGAAGAAAAAGCAUCGGCUAACUCCGUGCCAGCAGCCGCGGUAAUACGGAGGAUGCGAGCGUUAUCCGGAUUUAUUGGGUUUAAAGGGUGCGUAGGCGGAAUGCCAAGUCAGCGGUAAAAUCGCGGGGCUCAACCUCGCUCCGCCGUUGAAACUGGCGUUCUUGAGUGGGCGAGAGGUAUGCGGAAUGCGUGGUGUAGCGGUGAAAUGCGUAGAUAUCACGCAGAACUCCAAUUGCGAAGGCAGCAUACCGGCGCCCAACUGACGCUGAAGCACGAAAGCGUGGGUAGCGAACAGGAUUAGAUACCCCAGUAGUC